CCGGCGACCGGCGCACGGGUGAGUAACACGUAUGCAACCUGCCCUCUUCAGGGGGACAACCUUCCGAAAGGGAGGCUAAUCCCGCGUAUAUCGGUUUCGGGCAUCCGAGAUCGAGGAAAGAUUCAUCGGAAGAGGAUGGGCAUGCGGCGCAUUAGCUAGACGGCGGGGUAACGGCCCACCGUGGCGACGAUGCGUAGGGGUUCUGAGAGGAAGGCCGCCCACACUGGGACUGAGACACGGCCCAGACUCCUACGGAAGGCAGCAG
rnacentral:rRNA from 1 species